rnacentral:rRNA from 1 species
UACGUAGGUGGCGAGCGUUGUCCGGAUUUACUGGGCGUAAAGAGCGCGCAGGCGGUCGUACAAGUCGCGUGUGAAAGCCCCGGCUCAACUGGGGAGGGUCACGCGAUACUGUUCGACUCGAAGGCAGGAGAGGGAAGUGGAAUUCCCGGUGUAGUGGUGAAAUGCGUAGAUAUCGAGAGGAACACCAGUGGCGAAGGCGAGUCCCUGGACAACACCUGACACUGAAGGCACGAAGCUAGGGGAGCAAACAGG